rnacentral:rRNA from 1 species
AUUGAACGCUGGCGGCAUGCCUUACACAUGCAAGUCGAACGGCAGCACGGGUGCUUGCACCUUGUGGCGAGUGGCGCACGGGUGAGUAAUACAUCGGAACAUGUCCUGUAGUGGGGGAUAGCCCGGCGAAAGCCGGAUUAAUACCGCAUACGAUCUACGGAUGACAGCGGGGGACCUUCGGGCCUCGCGCUAUAGGGUUGGCCGAUGGCUGAUUAGCUAGUUGGUGGGGUAAAGGCCUACCAAGGCGACGAUCAGUAGCUGGUCUGAGAGGACGACCAGCCACACUGGGACUGAGACACGGCCCAGACUCCUACGGGAGGCAGCAGUGGGGAAUUUUGGACAAUGGGCGAAAGCCUGAUCCAGCAAUGCCGCGUGUGUGAAGAAGGCCUUCGGGUUGUAAAGCACUUUUGUCCGGAAAGAAAUCCUUGGCCCUAAUACGGUCGGGGGAUGACGGUACCGGAAGAAUAAGCACCGGCUAACUACGUG